UACGUAGGGUGCAAGCGUUAAUCGGAAUUACUGGGCGUAAAGCGUGCGCAGGCGGUUUUGUAAGUCUGUCGUGAAAGCCCCGGGCUCAACCUGGGAAUUGCGAUGGAGACUGCAAGGCUUGAAUCUGGCAGAGGGGGUAGAAUUCCACGUGUAGCAGGUGAAAUGCGUAGAGAUGUGGAGGAACACCGAUGGCGAAGGCAGCCCCCUGGGUCAAGAUUGACGCUCAUGCACGAAAGCGUGGGGAGCAAACAGG
rnacentral:rRNA from 1 species